AUCCAACUGACAAGUCUCAAAUAGGACGAAAUGCGUAUCCUGAAU
rnacentral:hammerhead_ribozyme from 1 species